GGCCGAUUGGCCGUCGUCACGUGGGGAGACUGGGAUUGCCGCACCAUGCUCGAGUUCGAGUGCCGCUUCAAGGGCAUCGAGAAGCCCUCCUACUUCGAUCAGUGGAUCAACCUGAGGGUCCCCUUCCAGGCGGCGCUCGGCGGCGGAGGGCGGUUCACCCUGCAGGAGGCGGUCCGCGCGGCGGUACUGGACUGGGAGGGACGCCUGCACUGCGGGCUGGACGACGCGCGCAACACGGCGUGGCUUCUUGUCGAGCUCAUGCUGCGCGGGGUCAAGAUGAGCAUUACCGGCUCGCUGGCGCCGCCACGACCGAUCCAGCAGCAGCCGCCUCACACAAGCCCUUGCCGUGGCUCCUCAGCACUGGCGCCGCCGCCCAUCCAGCAGCAGCAGCAGCCGCAGCCUCACGUAAGCACCUGCAGUGGCUCGUCUGUGACGUGCUUCUCCUACUGCGGCCAGCGGGUGGCGACCAGAGGAGGUGUGGUGUCGGUGCCGGGAUCGAUGCAGGGGAAGUGCUUCUUUGCGUGCGUCAAUGGGUGCCGUGUGUUGUUCGUGUGUAGCAACUGA
rnacentral:rRNA from 1 species